rnacentral:rRNA from 1 species
UACGAAGGGGGCUAGCGUUGCUCGGAAUCACUGGGCGUAAAGCGCACGUAGGCGGACUUUCAAGUCAGGGGUGAAAUCCCGGGGCUCAACCUCGGAAUUGCCUUUGAUACUGUAGGUCUCGAGUCCGGAAGAGGUGGGUGGAAUUCCUAGUGUAGAGGUGAAAUUCGUAGAUAUUAGGAAGAACACCGGUGGCGAAGGCGGCCCACUGGUCCGGUACUGACGCUGAGGUGCGAAAGCGUGGGGAGCAAACAGGAUUGAGAAACCC